rnacentral:misc_RNA from 1 species
AUUUUAUACGAAGCUGGAGGCGGCUCGGCAGACUAGAGAUGCAAGCCAGCGGGCUGAAAGGACCCAUUCCAUCAUCGAUCUCUGUCUUGGAAAAGUUAACCAAUUUGAAGAUUAGUGACAUAAAUGGGACAAAUCAGGCAUUUCCAAAUUUGAGCAGCAUAACAGAGUCUUGAGGAAUUGUAAUAUUUCUGGAGAAAUCCCUCAAUACAUCUGGGGAAUGAAUGAGCUGGAAACUCUGGAUCUCAGUUUUAAUAACUUAAGCGGGAAGCUUCCCUCCUCAAUUGACG